GCCUUCAUGAAGCUGGAAUUGCUAGUAAUGGCAGGUCAGCAUACUGCCGUGAAUACGUUCCCGGGCCUUGUACACACCGCCCGUCACACCAUGAGAGUUGGAAAUACCCGAAGCCUGUGAGCUAACAGUAAUGAGGCAGCAGUCGGAGGUAGAGCCAAUGAUUGGGGUGAAGUCGUAACAAGGUAGC
rnacentral:rRNA from 1 species